GCAUAACGCGAAGAACCUUACCUGGCCUUGACAUUGAUAGAAUCUGCUAGAGAUAGCGGAGUGCCCUUCGGGGAGCUUGAAAACAGGUGCUGCACGGCUGUCGUCAGCUCGUGUCGUGAGAUGUUGGGUUAAGUCCCGUAACGAGCGCAACCCUUGUCCUUAGUUACCAGCACGUUAUGGUGGGCACUCUAAGGAGACUGCCGGUGACAAACCGGAGGAAGGUGGGGAUGACGUCAAGUCAUCAUGGCCCUUACGGCCUGGGCUACACACGUGCUACAAUGGUCGGUACAGAGGGUUGCCAAGCCGCGAGGUGGAGCUAAUCUCACAAAACCGAUCGUAGUCCGGAUCGCAGUCUGCAACUCGACUGCGUGAAGUCGGAAUCGCUAGUAAUCGCGAAUCAGAAUGUCGCGGUGAAUACGUUCCCGGGUCUUGUACACACCG
rnacentral:rRNA from 1 species